UCUGGGAAACUGCCUGAUGGAGGGGGAUAACUACUGGAAACGGUAGCUAAUACCGCAUAACGUCGCAAGACCAAAGAGGGGGACCUUCGGGCCUCUUGCCAUCAGAUGUGCCCAGAUGGGAUUAGCUAGUAGGUGGGGUAACGGCUCACCUAGGCGACGAUCCCUAGCUGGUCUGAGAGGAUGACCAGCCACACUGGAACUGAGACACGGUCCAGACUCCUACGGGAGGCAGCAGUGGGGAAUAUUGCACAAUGGGCGCAAGCCUGAUGCAGCCAUGCCGCGUGUAUGAAGAAGGCCUUCGGGUUGUAAAGUACUUUCAGCGGGGAGGAAGGUGUUGAGGUUAAUAACCUCAGCAAUUGACGUUACCCGCAGAACAAGCACCGGCUAACUCCGUGCCAUCAGCCGCGGUAAUACGGAGGGUGCAAGCGUUAAUCGGAAUUACUGGGCGUAAAGCGCACGCAUGCGGUCUGUCAAGUCGGAUGUGAAAUCCCCGGGCUCAACGUGGGAACUGCAUUCGAGACUGGCAGGCUAGAGUCUUGCACAGGAGGCUACAAUUCCGGGUGUAACGCUCAAAUGCGUAUAGUUCUGG
rnacentral:rRNA from 1 species